CUACGUGCCAGCAGCCGCGGUAAUACGGAAGGUCCGGGCGUUAUCCGGAUUUAUUGGGUUUAAAGGGAGCGUAGGCCGGAGAUUAAGUGUGUUGUGAAAUGUAGACGCUCAACGUCUGACUUGCAGCGCAUACUGGUUUCCUUGAGUACGCACAACGUUGGCGGAAUUCGUCGUGUAGCGGUGAAAUGCUUAGAUAUGACGAAGAACUCCGAUUGCGAAGGCAGCUGACGGGAGCGCAACUGACGCUUAAGCUCGAAGGUGCGGGUAUCAAACAGGAUUAGAUACCCUGGUAGUCCGCACAGUAAACGAUGGAUGCCCGCUGUUGGUACCUGGUAUCAGCGGCUAAGCGAAAGCAUUAAGCAUCCCACCUGGGGAGUACGCCGGCAACGGUGAAACUCAAAGGAAUUGACGGGGGCCCGCACAAGCGGAGGAACAUGUGGUUUAAUUCGAUGAUACGCGAGGAACCUUACCCGGGCUUGAAUUGCAGAGGAAGGAUUUAGAGAUA
rnacentral:rRNA from 1 species